CGGACCAAGGAGUGCAACAUGUGCGCGAGCCCUCUGGCGAGUAAACCAGAAGGCGUAAUGAAAGUGAAGGCACGGUCGCCGUGCUGAGGUGAGAGCUGUCCAUGGCAGCACAUCAUCGACCGAUCCCAUCCACGCCCUCGUGGUGUGGCGGGAUUCGAGUAAGAGUGUACCUGUUGCGACCCGAAAGAUGGUGAACUAUGCCUGAAUAGGGUGAAGCCAGAGGAAACUCUGGUGGAGGCCCGUAGCGAUUCUGACGUGCAAAUCGAUCGUCAAAUUUGGGUAUAGGGGCGAAAGACUAAUCGAACCAUCUAGUAGCUGGUUCCCUCCGAAGUUUCCCUCAGGAUAGCUGUAGCCCUAAGCAGUUUUAUCAGGUAAAGCGAAUGAUUAGAGGUAUCGGGGAAGAAACUUCCUCGACCUAUUCUCAAACUUUAAAUAGGUAAGAAGUCCGACUUGCUCAAUUUGAAGCCGGACACAGAAUGCUGGGUUACUAGUGGGCCAUUUUUGGUAAGCAGAACUGGCGAUGCGGGAUGAACCGAACGCCGAGUUAAGGUGCCAAAGUCGACGCUCAUCAGAUCCCACAAAAGGUGUUGGUUGAUAUAGACAGCAGGACGGUGGCCAUGGAAGUCGGAAUCCGCUAAGGAGUGUGUAACAACU
rnacentral:rRNA from 1 species